AUACGGAGGGUGCGAGCGUUAAUCGGAAUUACGGGGCGUAAAGCGUACGUAGGCGGUUUGCUAAGUCAGAUGUGAAAGCCCCGGGCUUAACCUGGGAACUGCAUUUGAUACUGGCAGACUAGAGUAUGAUAGAGGGGGGUAGAAUUCCUGGUGUAGCGGUGAAAUGCGUAGAUAUCAGGAGGAAUACCAGUGGCGAAGGCGGCCCCCUGGAUCAAUACUGACGCUGAGGUACGAAAGCGUGGGGAGCGAACAGGAUUAGAAACCCCGGUAGUCC
rnacentral:rRNA from 1 species